rnacentral:tRNA from 1 species
UUGUUGGUGGCUCAGUGGUAGAACUCUCACCUUCCAUGUGGGAUACCUGGGUUUGAUUCCCGGCCAAUGCA